AACGAACGCUGGCGGCAGGCUUAACACAUGCAAGUCGAACGCCCCGCAAGGGGAGUGGCAGACGGGUGAGUAACGCGUGGGAAUCUACCCAGAUCUUCGGAACAACUGAGGGAAACUUCAGCUAAUACCGGAUACGCCCUACGGGGGAAAGAUUUAUCGGUUCUGGAUGAGCCCGCGUUGGAUUAGCUAGUUGGUGAGGUAACGGCUCACCAAGGCGACGAUCCAUAGCUGGUCUGAGAGGAUGAUCAGCCACACUGGGACUGAGACACGGCCCAGACUCCUACGGGAGGCAGCAGUGGGGAAUAUUGGACAAUGGGCGAAAGCCUGAUCCAGCCAUGCCGCGUGAGUGAUGAAGGCCUUAGGGUUGUAAAGCUCUUUCAGUGGGGAAGAUAAUGACGGUACCCACAGAAGAAGCCCCGGCUAACUUCGUGCCAGCCGCCGCAGUAAAAC
rnacentral:rRNA from 1 species